rnacentral:lncRNA from 1 species
AACGAAGAUCCCGCCAUUGUGGUAGUAAGCCGUCGGCGAAAAAACGCAAUACAGCCGAUGUCUCAAAGCACUGAUGCAAAACUCAUGCAAAAAGUAUCAGC